AUUGUUGUUUGAUCGGACCAAAAUUUGUUCCUCCCCGAAUUACGGAAAACUGAGUGAAGUGUCAAAUGUCUGAAGCCCUAAAUUAGCCGCUUCUUCUCCUCUUUCUCUCUCCUCAUAUUCUCUCUCCUCGUCAGACAAAGUGACGCCGUUUUGUCGGACUUCAUGGCUUCGCAAGUUGCAGAAUUCUGAAGAGAAAACGUUGAGUGCGUAUAUAUGAUUUCGAUGUCUACUGCUCCAAGGAGGAAAAAAUGGAGUGAGGCAGAGGAAAGGACACUAAUAGAUAGAUAUGGAGAGCUCGUGUCGAACGGAACAUUAGCGAAGAUGAAAACUAGGGAGAAGAAGUUUAGACCGAUUGCUUUUUAUGUGAAUACAAUGCAUCAUGAUAGGGAUCCAAUUGCGUUUCCUUGGCAAUGGAGUUGGAAAGAUGUGUCUACGAAAGUUCAGAACAUGAGGCAUCAGUAUUUGCUGGUUAAGCAAAAGAUUAAGAAGCCGGAACCACCAUUAGGGAGCAAUUUGGUGGGUGGUGGGGAGGAGUUUGAGUGGGCUGAUAGCCUCUCGCAUUGGUCAAAUUUUCUUAGGUAUAAAGAGGUGUUUGGGGAUGUGCCUCUUGUUUUAAGUAAUAGCCUUGAUGAUUCCAUGUUGGGUACGGUUAAUAAUGAUGACAAUGGUGGGGGUUUUAGUGGGAGUAGCCGAGGGGUGGAUAUGGUUGAUUUUGGCCAUUUGGGUCAUUCUGGAGAAGGGGAUUUUGCCACGGGGAUUGAUGGUGGGGAAGAUGGGGUCUUGAGUUUAGGUUUUGAGUAUGAUGGAGAGGAAGGAGAAGAGAAUUUUAAUAAUAGUAGCAACCAUUUGAAGGAUGAUGGUGAUGAAGAGUUUGCAUAUGAGGAGGUUGAGGCUAAUGGGUCAGAGUUGAGAAAGAAGAAGAAGGUAAUAAAGGGGUUUGAGACAAAGGCUUGGAGUUUUUUAGCAAAUCAAUUGGGACAAUUAAAGGAAAUGGAAAUGCGAUUUGACCAAAAGGAGCUGGAGCGGGACCGAGAGAGGCAAAGGAGGGAGAAUUUCCGCUCAGAGCGUGACAAAGAAAGGGAAAAGAUGUGGCAAGAGCGGGAUAAGGAAAGAGCAAAAAGGGAGAAGAUUAUUGAGGAGCUGAGGAAGCGAACAAUAGUAGAAUGGGAAGCGAUGGAGAAGGAAUGUGAGGAAAGGGAAAGAAGAAGAAGAGAGGAACUUAUGAUUCAGGAGAGGGAAUGGGAAGAGAGGAUGAGCUUGAGGAGGUCUGAGUGGAACAAGAGGAUGGACGACAUGUUGAAUCAGCAUCGAGCAGAAAUGGGACAGAUUCAGUCCCGGAUACUGCAUGAACAACAAAAUAUCACAAGUCAGUUGCUUACAAUUGUAUCACAGUGGUCGGGCCAUCCAAGUGGGCUAUCCGAUCAUACCGUAGCGAGCAGCCACUAUCUCUCACCAGUGAUGCAGAAUCUGCACCAUGUGAAUGACAUGGUUCAUGACGAUACUAGGGUCGAAGGAGACAAUCAGGAAGAUCAAUUCAUAGUCGAUUGAUGAUCCUGACUUUUCUGUACUUCUCUGCGGUUGUAGUUCAAGGCAAAUGUAACAUAGAAUAUUUGCCAUGACAAAGUGUAGAGAUACUCAACUACCAUGCAAUGGAAUUCCACUUGAGCUCAGAAUGUAUUUGUGCUUUGAUUCUUUGUAUUACAAGUUAUGAAUUUCUGAGAGUAUUUCAUGCAUCUCCUUCACUGUUCUUACACGGCGGAUCUCUCUACUUGGCUUUAAAGUGUAGCAGAAGUUGCAUCUCAAAUUGUCGCUAUUCAUUCGUUUUUCGAUCAGGUGAGUAGUCAAUAUUGGAGGAAUUUUCACUUUGAACUGAAUUAGAUAGGAUCAAACAUCUUGUUGCACUGUCCUCUACUUAUUUUGUGAAGUAAGUCAAAAUCUCUGAUCAAGGGUCUAAGUGGAAUAUCUCAGCAAUUGCUUAGGUGUAGUUGAAUUUUCUUAACCCCUUUACAUAAGGAAUUACUAACUAGGUUUAUCUGUAUUUUAAGUAGCCAGUGUUUUGAGUUGAAGUUUGCUUGAGCUUGACUUGAUAAGGCACCUAACAACUAACAAGUUUGAGUGAAUGAGUCGCAUGUGAGCUGGACCUAAGCUGAUGUUGGAUCAGAAAUAUCUAAUUUAGUUGUUCAGCUAGUUCAUCUGGUUAAGACCCCUAACAAUACUCUUGUCAUGGGUCACGGAGCUUCUGAUUCCUGAGAGGCUAGCAAACUACAGUAGGAUAUGGUAAAUAAAGGAAGCCGCCCGCCACAUUACCUGCUUAUAUUGUUAUUAGCUGCAAAAGUCACAUCUUUACAUGUGGAAGGAGUUUUAAUCAACAUCUUUGAAGGAAUAUACCAAAGGCUUGCUAAAUGCGCUAAACAUCUGUAACAUAGUUCUUGAAUUAUUUCCUCAACAUUCAUAAACAAAGGUCUGAUUUGUAAAACCUCUCGUAAAAUAUGCAUGCUGAAGCCUGAAGUGGAAUCCAGAUGUAUUAUAUCUGUUAGGUUUGUCUUAAAAUCUAAGAUUAGAAUCUCUCUUUUCCUUUUUUUCCCUUGAUAAGAGUGACCAUUACCUCUGAGCCAUACUCUUUUGUGAUUUAGCUUUCAAAAGAAGCUAGGGAUUAAGGCUUUCUUUUUACCUGAAGUAAAUUGAUCUGGUUUGAAUUUUUAGAUGUCUAGUAUGGUUUGAUCUGAAUCUUUUUGGGUUUAAUUUGACCUUACUUUUUACGUUAGUGUAUAAGAAAAAUAUUAUCACUCAUGAUCUUGUUAGCUUUGUCUCAAUGUGCCUUUUUAUAUUAUCAAAAAAAAAUUUAUUUUUAUUAUUAUGCAAUUAAAGUUUUUUGGUGGUUCUGUAUGAGAGACUGAUGUGAUUUAAACAAGAAUAAGUAUAUGUUCUUGAAAUUAGGUCAAAAGAAGAUAACCUUAGUGAGCAUCAGUUGUACUAUGUAAUUUUUGGUUACAUUAGAGAUCUUAAUUGGAUUUAGUUAUUUGCAUGCAAUGUUAGACAUCGAGCUUGUGUUCAAAGUGAUAUAAACACUUCUCUCUUGAACCACUUAUAUUUCAAUUUUUAUUUCCAAGGUGUCGUUGCUUAUUUACAUUCAUAUGUAAAAUCAUAUCUGCAAACAGUUUGAAAGACCUAAUCUUGAGUGUAGUUUUCUUCUGGAUUUUGUAUUGACAUAUGUCCUGAUUGGGGUAAAAUUCUUAGAUAUCAUUCAUGGUUUUGGGAAACAGAUAACUUAGUGGUUGUCUUUGAAGGGACAGGAGGAAACCCAUUUGAGAUCUGAUUGACAUCACAUUAUAGACAAAUUAUCUGUGCUGGUAUAUCAGAAUCUCACUAUCGACCACUUUCAAGAUGGGCGAAUCAUGGUUCUCGGAGACGGACAGAUCUGAUUAACGACACACACCUAAAAUGCAUCUGUAUUGUGAAGACGGAUAUGUAAUCAAUAUAUUGUUUGCCAGCUACGGGACCCCAAUGGCUAGAUGUCAAGAGUAUUCAAGACGCAGCUGUCAGCCUGUCACACACCAAAGUCAUCUGACGUGGUUCAUGGAGUAAGUGGGUAAACAAUAUACACUGGGCCCAUUUGGUGGAUGAUAAUAAAUGCUUUGCCAAGGAAGACAGACUUGCUCCAUUAGAGUUUCUAAUGCCGAAUGGUGAUCCAUGCAGGGGGGUUGUUAAAACCUUGGCUGCUCCAUUAGAGUUUUUAAAUGCUGAAUUUGAUGGCGAUCCACGCAGAGAGGUUGUUAAAACCCUAGCUGCUCCAUUAGAAUUUUUAAAAGCUGAAUUUGGUGGUGAUCCACGCAGAGGGGUUGUUGAAACCUUGGGAGGCGAAAUGUGUGUCAUCACAGGUCAGGGUUCUCAUCAAUCUAGGUCAGGUGGUGGAGGCGGUGGCAGUGAGCUAGUGAUGAUGGUCGAGAAUUUAUUGUGGUGUUGAUGAUAACCUAAUUUGUACUUCAUAUGCAUAGCAAAUAUUUUAUUUUAAAGAUGUACAUAAUUCAUUUUCUUUUGAGGGGUGUAUACAUAAACAAAUCAAGAUCAGAAAGAUAGAAUACUCCUCUUGUAAGACGGGAGACCAAGGCUAAACUAUCCAUCUCAAACAUCACCUGGGAUAAAUUGUGAGCUCAGGCUAACUUCACCGCCAGGUACAAUGCCUUCCCCUCCGCGAUUUCCGGUGAACACCAGAAAUUUAGUUACGUUUAGUAUAAUACAUUUUGAUUAAACUCCAAGGUCCAAGCUGAUUAAAACUUAAAAAGUGUCAUGACUCAUGAUGGUCAAAUUUAGAAUUAAUAUAUGGAAUAAUAGUCACAUUAAGGCAGCAUGAAAAAUUCCCCUCCCCAUCUCUUUCGACCUUCCUUAUGCACUUAUACUUGCUUGAUGAGUGAACAGAACACGUAGCUUUGGAGGAUAAUGGUCGGUUGCUUACCGAAAAGUGGGGUCCACAUAAAGACUUAGCCGUUGGAGUUGAAUUUGCCAUAACGAAAUUUUAAAUUCUUGCCAAGAUUGGAUGGGAUUGGGGUGGCUAUUAUUUGGCCCGCCAGGCGCCACAAAACGAGGUCCCAUGUGUAAUUAUUCUUAUUUUACCAUCAUUAUUAUGAUUAGUUAUUCUUUUUCUUGGUGAGAAGAAGUUUGCAGAUUUAUAUUUUUUUAUGAAAUAAAACUGAAUAUUAGUUGUCCUCUUUCUUGUUUAAAGUAAUACUAUAAUUGUAGUCCUACGAGUUAUGAAAAUUAUUUCAUAAGAACAUUUUGUAUUAUUACAUUAAUUUAUAAACCAACCAGUCUUUUA